AAAUGAAUUGACGGGGGCCCGCACAAGCGGAGGAACAUGUGGUUUAAUUCGAUGAUACGCGAGGAACCUUACCCGGGUUAGAACGCAGGAGGAAUAUAUGGGAAACUGUAUAGCCGGAGACGGCCGUCUGCGAGGUGCUGCAUGGUUGUCGUCAGCUCGUGCCGUGAGGUGUCGGCUUAAGUGCCAUAACGAGCGCAACCCUUAUUGUUAGUUGCCAGCGAGUAAAGUCGGGGACUCUAGCAAAACUGCCGGCGUAAGCUGUGAGGAAGGUGGGGAUGACGUCAAAUCAGCACGGCCCUUACGUCCGGGGCGACACACGUGUUACAAUGGGGGGUACAGAAGGUUGCUACCACGCGAGUGGAUGCCAAUCCCAAAAUCCCCUCUCAGUUCGGAUCGAAGUCUGCAACUCGACUUCGUGAAGCUGGAUUCGCUAGUAAUCGCGCAUCAGCCAUGGCGCGGUGAAUACGUUCCCGGGCCUUGUACACACCGCCCGU
rnacentral:rRNA from 1 species